GAUGAACGCUAGCGACAGGCCUAACACAUGCAAGUCGAGGGGCAUCGGGACGUAGCAAUACGUUGCCGGCGACCGGCGGAUGGGUGAGUAACGCGUAUGCAACCUACCCGUAGCAGGGGGAUAGCCCGUUGAAAGACGGAUUAAUACCCCGUAACACAGGGGCUCCGCAUGGAGAUUAUUGUUAAAGGGUCAUUUCUUUUAGAGGUGGUCCGGCUGCGGAUGGGCAUGCGUUCCAUUAGGUAGUUGGUGUAGGUAACGGCUCACCAAGCCGACGAUGGAUAGGGGAACUGAGAGGUUGGUCCCCCACACUGGUACUGAGACACGGACCAGACUCCUACGGGAGGCAGCAGUGAGGAAUCUUGGUCAAUGGACGCAAGUCUGAACCAGCCAUGUCGCGUGAAGGAGGACGGCCCUAAGGGUUGUAAACUUCUUUUGCAGCGGAAUAAAGUUUGCCACGAGUUGGCGAUUUGCAAGUACGCUGCGAAUAAGGAUCGGCUAACUCCGUGCCAGCAGCCG
rnacentral:rRNA from 1 species